UACGUAGGUGGCAAGCGUUAUCCGGAAUUAUUGGGCGUAAAGAGCGCGCAGGUGGUUGAUUAAGUCUGAUGUGAAAGCCCACGGCUUAACCGUGGAGGGUCAUUGGAAACUGGUCGACUUGAGUGCAGAAGAGGGAAGUGGAAUUCCAUGUGUAGCGGUGAAAUGCGUAGAGAUAUGGAGGAACACCAGUGGCGAAGGCGGUUUACUGGGCCACAUCUGACGCUGAUGUACGAAAGCGUGGGGAGCAAACAGGAUUAGAUA
rnacentral:rRNA from 1 species